ensembl:processed_transcript
CCUUUGUCCUUAGUAAGAUAGAUUUAUAAGCACAAUCUUUAAUAUCAAUGGAAACUCAGCGUUCAUGAGUAAAACACUCUUAAAGUUUUGUGAAUGAGUCAGUGUCAUAGGGUGUAGUCUCUCUGUGAAGCUUUGCUUUAGGGGCCCUGGUGCAGGUCGUCUAGAUUCUUACAAACAGAAGUCAUGACUCUGUCAGAUGGAAAUCACAGUGGGGCUGUGUUCACCCUCUUGGGCUUCUCAGAUUAUCCAGAAUUGACAAUCCCUCUCUUUUUGAUAUUUCUCACCAUCUACAGCAUCACUGUGGUAGGAAAUAUUGGCAUGAUUGUCAUAAUCAGAAUUAAUCCCAAACUGCACAUCCCCAUGUACUUCUUCCUCAGCCACCUCUCUUUUGUGGACUUUUGUUAUUCCUCCAUUGUUGCUCCCAAGAUGCUGGUAAAUCUAGUUACAAUGAACAGAGGCAUAUCAUUUGUAGGAUGCUUAGUGCAAUUCUUUUUUUUCUGUACUUUUGUGGUAACUGAAUCUUUUCUAUUAGGAGUGAUGGCUUAUGAC